rnacentral:rRNA from 1 species
UACGAAGGGGGCUAGCGUUGCUCGGAAUCACUGGGCGUAAAGGGUGCGUGGGCGGGUCCUUAAGUCAGGGGUGAAAUCCUGGAGCUCAACUCCAGAACUGCCUUUGAUACUGAAGAUCUUGAGUUCGGGAGAGGUGAGUGGAACUGCGAGUGUAGAGGUGAAAUUCGUAGAUAUUCGCAAGAACACCAGUGGCGAAGGCGGCUCACUGGCCCGAUACUGACGCUGAGGCACGAAAGCGUGGGGAGCAAACAGG